rnacentral:rRNA from 1 species
GUGUCAGCAGCCGCGGUAAUACGUAGGGCGCAAGCGUUGUCCGGAUUCACUGGGUGUAAAGGGUGCGCAGGCGGGCUGGCAAGUCAGCGGUGAAAUCUCACAGCUCAACUGUGAAACUGCCGUUGAUACUGCCAGUCUUGAGUUCGGGAGAGGUUGAUGGAAUUCCAGGUGUAGCGGUGAAAUGCGUAGAUAUCUGGAAGAACACCGGUGGCGAAGGCGGUCAACUGGCCCGGAACUGACGCUGAGGCACGAAAGCGUGGGGAUCAAACAGGAUUAGAUACCCUCGUAGUCC